UACAGAGGUCCCAAGCGUUGUUCGGAUUUACUGGGCGUAAAGCGUGCGCAGGCGGUGAGUUAAGUCUGAUGUGAAAGCCCCGGGCUCAACCUGGGAAUGGCAUUGGAAACUGGCUCGCUGGAGUAUGGCAGAGGGGGGUGGAAUUCCGCGUGUAGCAGUGAAAUGCGUAGAGAUGCGGAGGAACACCGAUGGCGAAGGCAGCCCCCUGGGUCAAUACUGACGCUCAGGCACGAAAGCGUGGGGAGCAAACAGG
rnacentral:rRNA from 1 species